CCUAUAUGCAGCGACUUUUGCACUUCCGAUGUGUAUUUUGUGUGUGUGUGUUGUCUUCGGUGCCAAUCAAACAAAUGUACCUAACGGAAAGCCGUCACUUCCGGGUGCAGCGAACAUCAAAAGAUUACUGAUCUAAAAGGAGCAUUGUUUUGAUUUAGUCCCGCCUUUUCAGAAUGUUCGAAAAGUUGCGCUCGCAAUUUAAUGACUAAAGUAGUUUAUUACAGAAUUCCUACUUCUCAAUUUAUCGUCUUGAUUCGAUAAUAAUGGCUGAACGGCCUGAAGACUUUAACCUUCCUGUAUCGGUAGUUGCUCGUCUGCUCAAGGAAUCGCUGCCCGAAAACGUGUCCGUAUCGAAGGAGGCUCGGGCCGCUCUUGCAAAGGCAGCAUCGAUUUUCGUUCUCUACUCUACCUCACUUUCAAACAACUUCGCCAACAAAAGUAAGCGCAAGAUGGUUUCUGGGCAGGAUGUUAUGGCAGCAAUGGAAGAUAUGGAACUAGAAGCGUUCAAGCCGCAACUGGAAGAAGCGUUAGAAGCUUUCCGAAGGGAUAAGAGCGCCAAAAAGGAUAAAAAAAAGGCUAAAGAUGGGACGACAAAAAAUAGUUCCGGCGACGGCCCCGUUGAGGCAAAGUUACAAGAUAAUAACAAUGAUGUUGAGAUGGCAGAAGAUGCAAACAGUGAUCAGGAUGCGGCAGAUCAAGACGACGACUGAAACCGGUUGCACGGACGCUACGAAUAAAAAAUUUGAAAAAGUCUCUGGAACCAGGACCGUUUCGAUUUUUCCGAACCCCCAAAGUCUAGACAGAUUACAAGAACCGUAGGGUUCCGGGUGUAUCUUGAUCUGAUGGAAACCAUCGUUCGAUAUAUUUAUUUUUAUGUAUUAAUGUAUUAAUAUGGUAAUUACUUUUAUGAGCAAUAUAAUUUAACUUGUUUUUUCUCAGCUGUUUUAGUUUUGGGUACAAUUUCUCUCAUCAUAUCAGUAUGCAUACAAAUCUGAGUCAACGGCUUCCACGAGGGAUGAAUUUGCAUAUGAUAAUGAUUUCGUGAUAAGACUUAGUAAUCGUUAGUUGAACUAGGGGUUUGGAAGGUUGAGUUAUAUGUUACUUGGAGGCUAUUCCCUAUUUUGUUGAAAGUUAUUUUUAUGUGUAAUGGUUGUCCAUUAAUGAUCACGUUAAGCUAAGCGCUCAAGAGUAAAUCGCUAAGCAUAGAUACCAUUUUUGCCAAUGGUUGACAUACGAUGAACUACUACUGCCUUCUUUUUCAAAUUCAAGUAACCCUUGUAAUUCAUUCAUUCUCGUUGUUUCUAUGGUUAUCGAUGGCUGCUACCUCAGAUCAAGGUUUUUCGAUAGUUUGAAUAACAAAUGCUAAAAACACCUUAUAUGUGUAUAUUGAUUCAAGCAAUGACGGGUUUUUAGUUUCGAAGGUGAACAGUUUAGGUAAAACUGUUCACCUUCGAAGGUUAAUGUCGAUCCCGUAAAUUUCAUAAUCGGAACAGUUUGUUGUGGUACAAAUGCUAAUAUUUUCUUUCUGUUAAAUCGCUGGUUGAUGGAAUUUUACGUUACGAAAGAUAUUGCCUUAAAGAAAGCCCAGGGUAAGCGAUUUUGCCGAGCAGGUCGUGCUUCAGUUAAAAAGUUUGCACUUCUUGACCGAAGAGAGUCCGUACAGGUCAAAUAAUCGUUGUCCAUUCUUAAAGCGCUUGACUUCGAUGCAGGGAGGAUCUCUAAGUUUUUGUCAUGACCAAUUUUUUAGCAAAGGCUGUUGGAGGCGAUAGCGGUGUAAACUCGGGCUUCGGCUCAGGUCCCGCCCAGAUAAAAAUUGUUGUAAUUUGCUGCUCCCAUUGUUAACGAGUGGAUUGCUACUUCGGCUUUGUUUUGGUUCCGAGGACAUCGGUUUUACACUUUCGUUAGGAAAGGUUUGCUCCUUUAAAGUUCUUUUUUAUCCGAAAAGAUGCUGAACCAAGUAUCCUAUUAAAACCUUCGGUUUGAUCGAGGGGAGCGCUCAACUUUUCUUUUAUUGCAGAAAGCUAAAUACAUUUUUGUAAGUUUUUGUUUGUGUCUGGUUGUUAUUAACCAUCAGUCAUCUGUUAGCAUUCGAACUAAAGAUAUUUUAACGACGUAAGAAAUAACUAUUCUGUUUACCGAAAUCGUUGCGCAAUACAAUAGCGAUAAGUGGUAUGCUAAUGGCUGGUCCGAACCAUAUCUAUGCUUUACUACUUUAGUAACACUUUAAUCAAAGCUAUAUGCAUAUUCGCUCUACUAGAUAUAUAACAUAGGCAUAUUUUCAUUCGU